UUUUGUUGUGCCAAACUUGCUGUGAAGCAAGGACGGAAAGCUAUGGGUCUUUAAGAGUAAGAUCGCCAGGCUGCCAAAA
rfam:Sulfurovum sp. AR contig00446, whole genome shotgun sequence.